rnacentral:tRNA from 1 species
GCCCGGGUGGCGGAAUUGGUAGACGCGCAGGUCUCAGAAGCCUGUCCUCAUUAGAGGGUGCUGGUUCGAUUCCAGUCCCGGGCACCA